CUCGAACAGCAGACAUCUUUUGGAGAUUUUGAAGCAAAUGACCUCCAAGAGUAACGUCUUUGUGUCCUGUCGUGUCUUUUUAAUUCGUCAUAAAGCAACCCACGAACCAUGGCCAUGGUUGCGGUGACAACCAUUGGUACUGUAAUGAAUGGGAGACCAAAGGACUCUGCACCAACGCUUAUUUUGUGAACUUCCUCAAGAUCUACUGUCGUAAGACGUGCAGUCAUUGUAAAUGAGAUCCCCGACUUUGCGUUUAGAUGGGGGGUAUUGCUGUUUUGGAUGGAAAAAAUAAAAAAGUAUAAAAUGAGAACAAUUAAAAAAAAAAAAAAAACA